rnacentral:lncRNA from 1 species
UCAUCUCAAGAUUUGGGGAUGCCUCAUGUAACAUUAGGCUAGUGGGCCCCAAAAGAAGAAACAGAAAACGAAGUUUUAAAGGCUCCAAAAGAAGAAACGGAAAAAGAAGUCGAAAAGUUAAUAACGCAAGAGAAAGAAAAAGGAGAUGGGAGAGGGCUCGGCUAAAUAGAAGCUGAGAGUUUCCUCGACCAAAAAGAAAAGAAAGAAAAGAAGAAGAAGAAGAAGAAGAAGAAGAGAAAAGGGAAGAAAGGAAAGAAGUUUUGGCACGUGCACGCCUCGGAUGCCUUGCCAAGCCAACUCGACUCCAUAACCCGGUAAGAGAUCAAGCCCCUCGUUUGUCCGAUUGAAGUAAUUUUUGGAUUUAGGACUCAAAUUCGGAAUUUUUGGAAAAUCGUGCGGCGAAGUCUAAUUUUGGAGUUGUUGAGCUGCGUAUUUUUGUAAGAAUGGUAAUUUAGGGUGUUGUGGAGCCGUGAGAUUUUAUGGAUCAUGAUUUGAGCUUAUAGUUUGUCUGAAACAAAAUUCCAAAGUUUCCCGCGCGCAGUGAACAAUACGUGUCCAGCAGCUUUGGGCCCGUAUUUUGUCAUUUUUCGGCUUGAUUUUGGGAUGGCCAAUUUGGGAUUCUUGUAAUAUGUGUCAAGGGCUCUCUAUUGACUAUAAGUACGUUCGGAUCGGGGUUCAGAAGAUAAAGUUAAGGCUCGAUCAAGUUUUGCGCUUAAACUUCAUGUUGCGAAUGGCUUAAACAAUCGCUUUGGUUAUGCGACUUGUUAGCGCGCAGAAGUCCUUUUGUUAAGGUUAAGGCGUAACUGAGUCAUUUUGUAGUCGAGAUAGAAUUUAAUUAGGUUUUAACAUUAUUCUUCGGUUAUUUGAUAGGGCCUUGAGUUCGACGAUACAAGUAUCGUUUGUCGUUUGAUCAUAGACAACAAGGUGAGUGGUACUAUAUCUUUUUUGGUUUUAUAAAAUCAUAUCUUGAAGUAUGCAUGUAUAUAUAUUGAAUCAAGAAGAGCAUUUUUAUUGCAUAAAAGUCAGAUCGAGCAAUUGCUACUCUUUGGUUGAUUGUGAAUGUUUGAAAAACAUGUUAUACAAGGUUUGUGGAGAAACAUAUAUGAAAUUGCUUUGCGACUGAUUUAUGGAAAGGUUUAGGAUGAUUUGAAAAACGGAUAUGAAAUGGAUGAUGGGCUAUGUUGCAAAAUGUUAUUUGUUUGGUUUAAGAUAUUGAUUUAUGGAUUGGAUUUUUGGUAUUGGAGAAUGGUUAUUUAUGCUCAAUAUGACUGUGAACCCAGUGAGGGGUUUUUGGGGUAUGCAUACCAGGUUUAGGAUAUCCUUCUGAGCCUAGCCACCGGCUUUGUAGGUGGAGACCUUGCCAAGGGGAGAAUCUUGGUCGCCUUGUCACAAGGCGUUGUGUCGUGACCAUAGUUAGUUAUUGAGCAAAAGAUUGAUCAAUGGAUAGACCAUUGAUAUGUGUUUUUGAUGGAGAUUAUUCAAUGGAUUCAACCAUUAAUACUUGAAUUUUGAUGGCGAUUCAAAUGAGUUUUCCAUAUUACUAUAAAUCUUGAUGAUAAGAAAUAACUCUUAUAAGAUUCAAUACUUAUUUUAUAUAUUGAGUUGGCUUAUGAAGUUUGGUAUUGUUUUGUAUACAUGCAUAGUGGUUGUUCGAUUUGCUUAGAAGAUAUGUACUACUCACUGAGCUGUGGUUGCUCAUCCCAUUCCUCCUUUGAUCUUUUCAGGUUCCUCAGCUAGUGGCGAAUAGAGCGAGUGCGCCGUCGUGGGAAACUUUUGGGGAGUUCUAUUUUGUUUUUGGUAUGGUUUAAGGAAGUGGUGCAAAUGAUCUUUACUAGUGGUUGAAUCGUCUAAGUUUUGAAGUAUAUCCUUUUCUCUUUUUGGUGGAUUAUAGAAACUCUGAUGUUGCAACCAAUUUGAAGGUUUAUCUGAUAUUUAUAUAUAUAAGUUAAUAUCAGUUUGUAGGUUGUGUUUGAGGCUGCGUCCUUUGUAAAGAAGGACGGCCGUGUCAUCCCCAUUCUUUGUAGUUUUUGGGGGUGUGACACCUCAUCCAUCUGCCUGUCCAUUGAGAUUGAGGUGAGAUCUCAAAGGCCAUGGCCAGAUCAGGUCAUCAAUGGUGCUGCCGAGACCUUAUAGAGAUUUGGUGGUGAGAGAAGAAACAGAGUGAGGGAGAGAGUGUUUUCGGUUUGCAAAUAGAGAAAACAAAGAUGGUCGUGGAUGACACGAUGGAGAUAACAACGAGAUGUGGAGG